GAUGAACGCUGGCGGCGUGCCUAAUACAUGCAAGUCGAGCGAACAGACGAGGAGCUUGCUCCUUUGACGUUAGCGGCGGACGGGUGAGUAACACGUGUAUAACCUACCUAUAAUACUGGGAUCACUUCGGGAAACCGGAUCUAAUACCAGAUAAUAUAUUGAACCGCAGGGUUCAAUAGUGAAAGACGGCUUUGCUGGCUCUUCUAGAUGCAUCCGCGCUGCAUUAGCUAGUUGUUAAGGUAACGGCUUACCAAGGCAACGAUGCGUAGCCGACCGGAGAGGCUGGUCGCCGACACUGGAACUGAGCCGCGGUCAAGACUCCUACGGGAGGCAGCAGUAGGGAAUGUUCGGCAAUAGGCGGAAGCCUGACACAGCAACGCCGCGUGUGUGAUGAAGGUCUUCGGAUCGUAAAGCUCUGUUAUUGGGGAAGAACAGAUGUGGACUUAGACAUGCACGUCUUGACGGUACCGAAUAAGAAAGCAACGGCUAACUACGUG
rnacentral:rRNA from 1 species